AAGUCGUAACAAGGUCUCCGUUGGUGAACCAGCGGAGGGAUCAUUACAGAGUUUUCUAAACUCCCAACCCAUGUGAAUUUACCACUGUUGCCUCGGCGGCUCCCGCUUACCCGGGACCGCCGGCGGAAAACCAAACUCUUUUGAAUUCUUAGCACUUCUGAGUUAAUAUUAAAAUAAGUUAAAACUUUCAACAACGGAUCUCUUGGUUCUG
rnacentral:misc_RNA from 1 species